rnacentral:rRNA from 1 species
CCUACGGGGGGCAGCAGUGGGGAAUAUUGCACAAUGGGGGAAACCCUGAUGCAGCGACGCCGCGUGAGUGAAGAAGUAUUUCGGUAUGUAAAGCUCUAUUAGCAGGGAAGAGAAUGACAGUACCUGAGCAAGAAGCCCCGGCUAACUACGUGCCAGCAGCCGCGGUAAUACGUAGGGGGCAAGCGUUAUCCGGAUUUUAUGGGUGUAAAGGUAGCGUAGGCGGUGUUUGAAGUUAGGAGGGAAAGCCCCGGGCUCAACCCCGGGACUGCUUGGGAAACUGUGUUGCUGGAGUACAGGAGAGGCAGGCGGAAUGCCUGGUGUAGCGGUGAAAGGCGUAGAUAUCAGGCAGAACACC